rnacentral:rRNA from 1 species
GAUGAACGCUGACAGAAUGCUUAACACAUGCAAGUCAUUGGCGAAGCUGCGCUUGCGCAGUCUAGCCAAGGCGGACGGGUGAGUAACGCGUAAGGAACUUGCCCUGCAGACAGGGAUAACAGACGGAAACGACUGAUAACACCUGGUAUUGUCAGGCUGUCGCAUGCCGGCCUGAUGAAAGGAGACGCUGCAGGAGAGCCUUGCGUCCUAGUAGCUAGCUGGUGGGGUAACGGCCCACCAAGGCGACGAUAGGGAGCCGGCCUGAGAGGGUGAACGGCCACAAGGGGACUGAGAUACGGCCCUUACGCCUACGGGAGGCAGCAGUGGAGAAUAUUGGACCAUGGGGGCAACCCUGAUCAAGCAAUUCUGUGUGCACGAAGAAGGUUUUCGGAUUGUAAAGUGCUUUCAGCAGGGAGGAAGAAAGUGACGGUACCUGCAGAAGAAGCGACGGCUAAAUACGUG